rnacentral:rRNA from 1 species
AUUGAACGCUGGCGGCAUGCCUUACACAUGCAAGUCGAACGGCAGCGGGGGAGAAGCUUGCUUUUCCUGCCGGCGGGUGGCGAACGGGUGAGUAAUACAUCAGAACGUGCCCUGUAGUGGGGGAUAACUAGUCGAAAGAUUAGCUAAUACCGCAUACGACCUGAGGGUGAAAGUGGGGGACCGCAAGGCCUCAUGCUAUAGGAGCGGCCGAUGUCUGAUUAGCUAGUUGGUGGGGUAAAGGCCUACCAAGGCGACGAUCAGUAGCUGGUCUGAGAGGACGAUCAGCCGCACUGGGACUGAGACACGGCCCAGACUCCUACGGGAGGCAGCAGUGGGGAAUUUUGGACAAUGGGCGAAAGCCUGAUCCAGCAAUGCCGCGUGUGUGAAGAAAGCCUUCGGGUUGUAAAGCACUUUUGUCCGGAAAGAAAUGGCUCUGGUUAAUACCUGGGGUCGAUGACGGUACCGGAAGAAUAAGGACCGGCUAACUACGUGCCAGCCGCCGCCGUAAGAC